CGUAGGGUGCGAGCGUUGUCCGGAAUUAUUGGGCGUAAAGAGCUCGUAGGCGGUUUGUUGCGUCGGCCGUGAAAACUUGGGGCUUAACCCCGAGCCUGCGGUCGAUACGGGCAGACUUGAGUUCGGCAGGGGAGACUGGAAUUCCUGGUGUAGCGGUGAAAUGCGCAGAUAUCAGGAGGAACACCGGUGGCGAAGGUGGGUCUCUGGGCCGAUACUGACGCUGAGGAGCGAAAGCGUGGGGAGCGAACAGGAUUAGAUACCCUGGUAGUCCACGCCGUAAACGGUGGGUGCUAGGUGUGGGGGGCUUCCACGUCCUCCGUGCCGCAGCUAACGCAUUAAGCACCCCGCCUGGGGAGUACGGCCGCAAGGCUA
rnacentral:rRNA from 1 species